ensembl:lincRNA Gm10603 predicted gene 10603
GCACUGUGGGGGCAGCUGACUCUCCUCAUGGUAUCCUGGUGGCCUUUCUUCUCCCAAGCCUUGAAUUUGUCCCGGAGAGCAGGCUUCAGGGUAACUUGACAGCCUGAAUCUAAGGCUUACCCAGAUCUGGAGAGGCCCUUGGGGAAACGUUUUGUUAUACACAAUAAAAUGGGAUCUACAAAUGGAGAUUCAAGGCUGGACUUCUCCCUCCCUUCCCCUCUCCCUCUAAGCUGAGCAUUGCCUGGAACAAUAUUGAGAAAUCACGUGUUUCCGUCAGGAUCUCAAAGGCCAUCCUGAACUUUUGACUCUCCUGUCUCGGCCUUGAAGUACUUAGAUUACAGGCAGGCACUACAACGUUCAUGUUUCUCUGGUGCUGGGGCUAAGGUACCCUAGCAGGACAUCUCUAAAAUGCUAAAACUCAAGUUGGCUUUUAUUCUAUAGCCAGUGAAAAUCAGUUUAAAAAUGAAGGUGACAUCAAGCACCUGGGAGCUGUAAAGCAGAGGGGCCUGGAU